ACUUAACAAGGGCAUGUCCAAAACACAGAAAAUGACUACAGUUCUAAGUGGAGACAUUGCCCUAGAACAGCUUGAAAUAGAGGGGUUUUAGUCGCUAGGUCCGAGGACUUCUUCCUCGGGAAUCCGACACUACCCAGUCGUACGGACGGCUGGGUGUCUUUUAAAGAUUUCCCCUCUUCUAC
rfam:Agrilus planipennis Contig40141, whole genome shotgun sequence.